rnacentral:lncRNA from 1 species
CAAGAAUAAAGCAACAGGAACACCCCAGCAAGAUGAAUUUGUUCUGUUUAUGCUUCAGCGUGUGCUCAUGUGGCAUAUGACAAGUACAGGAGACUUUAAAGAUGAUCAGCAAAUGGAAUCCAUGAAGCUUGGCCUCUACCCUCUCUCCGUUGGGAGUGCGUGCUGCAUAAGCAACUGCAGUUUGUCUCUCUCCCCCCAAAUGACAUGUGACUCUUACAGUGAGGUCCAGUAUGAAUAA